CAUACCUCAUGAUAAUAGUUGAAGUUUUGUAUAUGGUAGUAGUAAAUUUGGCUUUAAAAUCACAUCCAAGCUAAGAAGAACAUUUGACCUGUAUCUCAUCCUCUUUUUUCUUUUCUUUUCUUUUCAUGAUUUUGCCAGUGUCUACUUCUGAAUAUAAGCUAUUGCCCUGCAUCAGAAGUAACUUUGUCUGAGGGGAAAAAAUUGAUUGUCGUGGUGUACAAUUCUCUUGGAUGGAAGAGGGAUGACACAAUCCGAAUUCCUGUCAUCAAUGAAGAUGUCAUUGUUCGUGAUUCGGAGGGAAAAGAAAUUGAGUCAUAGCUUCUUCCUCUAGAUGAUGUCCAUCUGGGCUUAAGGAACUACUAUGUUGAGGCAUAUACACUAUCUCGGGUGCUGAAGUGGCAGGUGCUAGCUAGCUUGACCAGAUCAUCUGUUUACACCUUUCAAAGUAGGGAAAAGUUGACUAUGGAAGUUGGUCAAGGAAAUAUGAAACUUUCUUUUUCCACAGAUCAAGGCAAAAUGAUUAAUAAUUAUGUCAAUAGCAGAAGCUUGGUGGAAGAAUGGUUCAUCAGUCUUACAGCUUUUAUAAUGGGUAUAAUGGCAGUAAUGUUGAAGCUCCUCCGAUUCCUCAGGAGGCUUGCCACAACAUGAAUGAUUGGUACGUGGAGUAGAUCGAGGAAGAUUCGUGCAACGUUCAUCUUGCAAUAGAGGAAGAAAACUACCUUGUAAACUUUUGUAUAAGAGCUUCAUUGUUACAAAAAUGCUAAAAUGCUAUCAUGAGAAAUGCUAAAAUGUAACAUUCCCUUUUAUAUAUGCUUAAU